CAUUCUAAAAAGACAUGUCACAAAAUGAAAAUGGCAUCUUCAGUGAGAAGGUUCCAGCAGCAGAUGGAUUGGAAGCACCCUUCUUUGUCUGCUGAGACCUGGAGAGCUACAACUGAUCAGAGCAGACAAAAUUGGACUAGGGUAACGCCAUCCUCUGAAAAUCCCACUGGCUCUAAUUGUAGUAUAAGCCAAGGAAAGCCUUCUCUAAGAAGAAUAAAAGGGAGAAUACAUAGAAGCAAAAGCCUCGAUAGCCUUGAUUUCUGUGAGUUCAAUGAAAAGAAGACGAUGGCUCUGGCACACGCACAAAUGACCAAGAAAGCACAAAACACACCAAAUUGAGCUCCGUCAUUCCCCAUCUUUUGUUCUUCACACCAGUCACACGUCUGUGUUCUGUGAUUUUCUUCCAGCCACCUUAACAUAUAAACAUCUGCUUAGCUCCAAACCACCUUCUAUUUCUGUAAUGAUGGGGUUGAAGUCUGCAUGCAGCACAAAUAAUGGUAAUUAUUAUAUAGCUUUCCUGGGAAGAGUAAUUUCAUUCUUGCUUUGGGGUGACUUUUUGGGGAAAGGGAUUUGGCAUAGGAGUCUCCUUUAAUUCCAAGUAUACUAAGCCAUUCUUAAUUUUACAGCCGGUGUUGUUUAAAAUUAAACAUGUUUAAAGGCUUCAUAAUGUAUUAAUAAAACAUGUCCUGAAUCUUCUUCCA